UUUUAAAAUGAUGCCAAAAUAUCCGCCCCAGUCUGAUUUCUGUGACUGUUUGGAAGUAUUCUGAUUAAAU